GGCCAUCUUUAGUGGUUUGGAGGCUGUAAGUACUAAAGCCUGAAGGAGGAGAAUAUGCAACUGGUAAAGUCCAGUACAAAUCUCUCUCCUCUCAAAAACCCCAAUUCUUUGUACGUAGCAUUGCCUGACAGAGCCCACUAAGCUACAGAGGGGAGGCACAAAACAGGAGAAGUAGGCCGAAGUGCAGGAUGAACCCCGGGCCAAAGCCAGGCGUGUUUAGCCUCUCCAUUGCAGGGUGGGGUCCACUUUCUAGCCCUGUAGAAUUGCUGUCUCCUUAAGACUAAAAGGGAAAUGGAAAUCAAUGUUGGAUGGCAUUGUUUGGUUAUGAACAAAUAUAGGAAGGCUUCAGCGGCUGACUUGGCAUUCUCAGAAAGGAGGGAAUAGGGAGGAGAGGAGGAGGAGCUUCUGCUCCCUGCCUCCUUCAGUUUUUGCCCUCAGGAGCUGUGGCUAUAUAUAGUACAAAAGACGUGGUCCAACUCCUCAACCUAAGGCUUUUUUUUCUGGGGGUACGCAUACCCCUAAACAUUUUGUGAAUCUAGGUUUGGCCUCAUUGAGGGGCAGUAUUUCAAUACGAGUAGGAAAAUGAGAGUACCGCUAAACAUAUUUUUUACGGAAAAAAGCACUGCCCUUUUCUUCUUCUGAAACUUUCCCAUAGAGCAUAGGAACCACAAACCUGAUGGCAUGCAUCUGCCUCACCCUAAGCACAGCUCCCUGCUCUUAAAUUGUUUAUAGAGACUUGAACAGACCAAUUCCCUCUCUCCAUACCGCCAUCUUGUUUUUGUUUUUUUCUGCCAAGUGACACCUUCCACAUAAUGUGGUUCAACUUCUUUCAAUAUUCUCAAGGGACAUAGAACCUUCCAACCCUUUUCAGUCCAUUUGUUCCUGUUUUCCUUCUGUCUUUAAACUCAUCUACUUCUGUGUAUCUUAGGAGUCCUUUGAAUAUGCAGUAUCCCUGAUCUAUUCUUGGAUUAUCCAGUUUGGCUUCCUAACCAGAUAGGUACAGAAUCACUCAAGUUUAAUAUUAAGAGAGAGCAGCCCUCAACAAAAGUAAUAAUAAUAAUAAUAAUAAUAAUAAUAAUAAUAAUAAUAAAUAAUGUUGUGUACCACCCUAUACCCACAGGUGUCAGGGCAGUUCACAGGAUAAAAUAAGAAUAUAAAACCACAAAAUAUAUAAUAAAACCCAAUAACCCCUCCCAACACAUUUUAAAAGGGCAUAGGAUGUCAAUCAACGUUAAAGAGGAACGUUUUUGCCUGGCGCCUAAAGGUGUAUAACAAAAGCACCAGGCAAACCUCCCUCGGGAGAGCAUUCCACAAAUGGGGAGCCACUGCAGAGAAGGCCCGUUCUCGUGUUGCCACCCUCUGGACCUCUUGUGGAAGAAGCCCAGGAAGAAGGGCUUCAGAAGAUGAUCUCAGAGUCCAAGUGUGUUCAUAUGGAAAGAGGCAGUCCUGAGCCGUUUAAGGCUUUAUAGGUCAAAACCAGCACUUGGAAUUGGGCCCAGAAACGAAAAUGCUGCACUGUAUUCCCAACCCCUAACAGAAGCUUCCCAGUUCAGGAUUUCAACCUGGAAAAACUGUCCUUUAAACUUUCAUUUCUUAUAAAACAUUGCCAUACAAUGUGUGGAGGUGAGGUUUUAAGCAUCUACCGAUCCUUAAUCACCCAUCCAGGAAACAAGUAAUAAAAACUGAGGACUCAACGCAUCCACUUCCCCCAUCAUUUUCUCCUGCACCCCAUCCAACUGACACCCCCAGCUGUCUGUUGCUCAACUGCCCCCAAGCUUAGAUCUUGGACUCUCACUGGGCCUCUGGGCAUAAGGUCCUUCCUGGGGUUUUUUAAAUUGAUUUUUAAUUUACAGACUAGUUUAUUUCUGCAUACCAGCACACCUCCAGCUAUGCAGAAGCAGUUUUACCUUAUAUUUUGCUUCCAGAUUAAUAGGCAUAGGACCACUCACCUAGCAAAGGGGGGGGCAAUUAUCACAUUUACUCGAAUCUAAUGCACACCUCAAUUUUCAGAACCUUUAAACCAAAAAAAGUAUUUGCUGGUGAAUGUAAAUGCGCCAUCGAAUCUAAUAUGCACCUUAAUUUUUGCAAUGAGAUUUGACCCAAAACAGGUGAGCAUUAGAUUGGAGUAAAUACAGUAUAUGUUCAAACAUCAAAAUCCAUCCAGAAAACCAUAAGCAAAUUUCAGGUCAUCAACUGAUGGCUUCACAGUGUCCAACCCAUCUAAGCUGUGGCUAGCAUUAUUCAAAGUAGCAUCGCUGGUCAUCUAUCUGUAAGUAGGGAUGGGGGGAAAUUCAGUUCAAUUCAAUUUGUGUUUAAAGAUGAACUGAACUUUCCCAAACAAUGUACAUUCUAAAACACAGCCACCUUUCCAAAUUCAUACUUCUCUGAUGUUUUGCAGUGCAGGGCUCCAGCCAAGUAAUGUGUAGAAAAAUGCCUAUACUAGGGUAAAAUGUCCCUUAAAAUGUAUAUAUUGGUGCAAAGAACUUACAAAAAUGCAUUUUAUUAGGGGAAAUUGUUUUGCAAAAAUGAUUGUAUUGGGCAAAAUUGAAUAAGGGAGAAAGGUAUUUAUUUCAUAAAAUUUAUACACCACCUUAUUGCUUUUUUUAAAAAAAAAACCUUCAAAGUAGUUUACAAUUCACACUAAAAUGCUGAUUGAUUUUUUUAGGGCUCUUUAAAAAGAAAGAAAGAUCAAACUGGUUUGGAAAUGUGGAUCUGCACUUAAGAUUUGAAAAAAAAAGAGAAACUGAGAGAAGUCAAAAUUGACAAACUCAUCCCUCCCUCCCUGUAAGGAAAGUAGGUGGAUAAGAGCUAAUGUUUAUGCUAGGACCAUUAUUUCCUUUCAUCUUGCCCUAUCAGAAGUUACUUGAAGCUAUCAACAUUACUUGAAGCUAAGACACAUUGACAGUGUCUUAAUCAGGGCACACAGUGUGCAUGCUCCAUGUGCCGCCACCAUGUGCUGGAUGCAGCCUGGCCCCCUGCAGAAUCACAUGUUGCUUUGGUUACAGAUCACCUGAGCCAUGCAGUGAAACCUGUUUCUACACACAGGUUGGCUUAUCCAGAGCAGGCUGAUAUUCUCCACAAUCAUGAAUGCUUUCACAUUGUAAACUGGCCUGAGAUCUGUAGAUGAAGGGUGGUAGCAAAACCUCCCUCUCCUAGCUAGGCAGCAGAGCCCACUUACCACCACUGAGAUAUGGGAGCAGAAGAACUGCCCUUCAACAGGACUAACCAGCAGGCAUCCCAAAUGUUCCGAGCUACAAGAUAAAGGAAAUCGUUCUGCAUGCAAUAAAACAAAACUUAACCAAGGAAAAAAGUUCUUCUUUUCGGUAAAUUAUGGUUCUUGGGAUCUCCCCACCUCCCCGAUUGCUCGGUGCUUGGAGUUACAUUAUGUCUCAAGUAACUCUCCUGAUGACAGUAGCUAUCGUCGGAUCAUUAAGAAUUUGCCAUUGCCUGACCUUACAUGGAAGGAUAUAGAUGAAGAUGCCACGUAAAAAACCAGCCCAUUUUCAUUUCUUCACCCUCACAAAUCACUGUUAAUUUAAAGCUCUGCUACCUUUAUUCAGAACCAGGAGACCUGUCAUAAGGCUAUCAGCUACCCUUUGAGAAGUGCAUAGGUAGUUUCUCUACUAAAAUAUAUUUAGAUCUGCCAACUGGUCUUUCUUUCCCCUUUCUGCCUAUCCUCAGUUCCUAGCUUUCCAAUUAUAGCUCGCAACUAACCUGCUUGUGACCUGCACUCCAUGCUCUAGCACACACUUUGCUUCCUGCAAAAUCAAUUUCCCCAACUAAUUAUAGCCACUGGCACCUCCUGUAAUGGGCCCAUAAUAAUAGAAGAACCAUAGCUGCAACUGGUAUUCUGUUGGAAACAUGUAUUUCAGAGGAGAAAAAUGGGCACAUCUUUAUAACCAUCGCCAAUAAAAAACCAAAUUUGUCAUCUAGAGAACCUGAGUUCUGUGCCAAGAAAAGCC